GACGAGGCAUAAGGCAAAGACGACGAUGAUGGUCUUCAUGUUUCUUUUGGAGAUAUCGGCGAGCUUGAGGAUGUACGAUCACUAACGGUGGUACGUCCCAUUCUUCUCCCUCCAUUGGCUCUGACAAAUGGUUCUGUAUUUGUCAGAUGGAAGUUUACCGAUAUUUUGCUCUUGGUGAACCAUCAUAAUAUACGUAGAUUACAUAACGGAAAGGGAAUGUUUGUUGAUGCUAACAAAAUUUAUUAUUCUUCAUUCAACUCGAAGGACAUGGUUAAAUUUGUAAUACUAUACUAACGUAAAAGGAUCCUCUGAUGGUUUUUUCAGAAUCAAUUAUGCACUAUAAUUAUUCAAGCAUAAUACAAGUGGGAACUCAUAAGCAGCAAUAAAUUGAUGGACAAACUCUUCAAGAGGACAUAACAGGACAGAUUCCACGAAUGUUCAUAAUACCACUAUCAAAAAUGGAAUUUAUGAUUUUAUAAACUGGAAAAAAAUGAAGAUAAGCGAGAGAGUCAAAAGAAAUGAUUAAUUAAAUUUUAGAUAAAUUAAUUUACCAGUGUCAAUGGAUGUGCGCAUAAUUCAGUUGCGAAUUAAAUAGUUCCUAUUGCUAGACAGCAUUGAACUUGUCAUUGAAUGAUAUUUAGGAUAAAAUAUUGGAAAGAUAUAUUUUACUUUAACAUCAUACAGUAAUAUAUUAUUUCUAUACAUGUGAACUCGCUCCAAAACGUGGACCGAUAAAGCGUGAUUUUCUGAGAGUCAG